GCGAUCAUUCCAUAACCAAUGCACCAGAUACCAUCAAAAUUCUACAGGUAAGCGUGCUUGGGCGAGAGCAGUACUAGGAUGGGUGACCCCUUGAGAAGUUUUCGUGUUGCACCCU